AACGUACGCUGGCGGCACGCCUAACACAUGCAUGUCGAACGAAGUAGCAAUACUUAGUGGCAGACGGGUGAGUAACAUGUAGGUAUCUGCCCUUUGGCCUGGAAUAACACGAGGAAACUUGUGCUAAUACCGGAUAAGUCUUUACGGAGAAAGCUUUAUGCACCAUUGGAUGAGCCUGCACUUGAUUAGUUUGUUGGUGGGGUAAUGGCCUACCAAGACUGUGAUCAAUAGCUGAUUUGAGAGGAUGAUCAGCCACAUUGGGACUGAGACACGGCCCAAACUCCUACGGGAGGCAGCAGUGGGGAAUCUUGCACAAUGGAGGAAACUCUGAUGCAGCGAUGCCGCGUGAGUGAAGAAGGCCUUUGGGUUGUAAAGCUCUUUCGUCGGGGAAGAAAAUGACUGUACCCGAAUAAGAAGGUCCGGCUAACUUCGUGCCAGCAGCCGCGGUAAUACGAAGGGACCUAGCGUAGUUCGGAAUUACUGGGCUUAAAGAGUUCGUAGGUGGUUGAAAAAGUUAGUGGUGAAAUCCCAGAGCUUAACUCUGGAACUGCCAUUAAAACUUUUCAGCUAGAGUAUGAUAGAGGAAAGCAGAAUUUCUAGUGUAGAGGUGAAAUUCGUAGAUAUUAGAAAGAAUACCAAUUGCGAAGGCAGCUUUCUGGAUCAUUACUGACACUGAGGAACGAAAGCAUGGGUAGCGAAGAGGAUUAGAUACCCUCGUAGUCCAUGCCGUAAACGAUGUGUGUUAGACGUUGGAAAUUUAUUUUCAGUGUCGCAGCGAAAGCGAUAAACACACCGCCUGGGGAGUACGACCGCAAGGUUA
rnacentral:rRNA from 1 species